UGGGUGCAGGGGUCCCACAGUCAGGGGGGGUAGAGGGUCCUGGGCCAGUCUGGGAGGGGGAUCCCGGGACAAAGCUGAGGGGUGGUCCCAGAGCCCUGGGGCCGGGGCCCGCCCAGAAGGGAUGCUGGUGGGGGGAUCAUCUUUGGGGGCGGGAAGGGGGUGUCCCGGGAGGGAUGCGGUCGCUGGGGCGGGGCUGGGGGCGGACACCCCCCCGGGGGCCCGGCGGCCACAUGACCGGGCAGACGGCGGGGCCGGGCUGGGCUCUCACCGCCUACAAAUGCGGCUCCCCCGGAGCGGGGCCGCCACCGCCGCCGCCUCCGCCGUCCCGCACCCCCCCAGCAUGGCCGCGCCGCGCUGGCUCUGGGCGCUGCUGCUGCUCUGGCUCUCCCUGGCCGCCGCCGGGCCACUGGGCCAGGCGCUGGAUGGGAAAGAUGCAGGAAACGGCCUCAUCCGAACCCUGGUGCGGCCGCAGGCUGCGCGGCGCGGGGCCGGGCACCGGCCAGGUGGCUGGCGGAGGUACCGGCGGCCCCGACCCCGGCUUUCCCACAAGGGCCCCAUGCCCUUCUGAGGCAGGGUUGCCACCAGUCCUCCAGGGAUGCGGCUGCCGUUCUCUGUCCUAGCCUGCUCUGCACAUCUUCCAGCCCUGAGCGCAGGGUCCCUGUGAGCCCUCAGCUGGUGUCACCUCCUUCCCGCGGCUGUCCCUGGUGGCGCUGGCGCCGUGGGUGCCUCCUGCCUCCCUCACCACCCCUUGGGGCUGGCUGGGAGAGGGCUGCCCAUGGUGGGGCUGGGUGCUGCCGCCAUGCCCCUGUCCUGGUGGGUGUGAGGCUGCCCUGGACAUCAGCUCACCAGGACCCAUAGGCUUUGUGCAAAGCACUAUGUCACGUGGAGGAGCUUCUCUGCAGGGGUCUGUGAGCUCCUCUGGGGCUCCUGCCUCAUCCCUGCCAGUUGCCCACAAGCCAGGGUGAGCACGCAGUUUGUCCUGCUGGAGUUUCUAUUUAUUCCCACGGUGCUAACGCUGCACCCUGGGUGAGCUGCCCUCCCCUCCUUGGCAAGUGUGAGGUCCCCUUCCCUCUGACAGACCAACUCCUGGGCACCCCCAAGGUAGGGGGUGUCCACUCAGGACACAGCGUGGGGCUCUGGGCCCCCUGCCUGCUCUGCACCAUGGGGCGGCAGGAGAAUGGUGGGGCACUAGGCCCUCUAUGUCAAACACUGACAUGCCAAAGUUGGGGCCCUUGCUCUGAGUGCUGCUGGGUGCUGUUGUUCAUGUUUCUUGUGUUUGUAAAGAUUUAUUAUGUUUAAAUACAUCUUUAUAAUAAAGAGUUAUGAUGACAGUAAA